rnacentral:rRNA from 1 species
CAUUACUGAGUUUACGCUCUAUAACCCUUUGUGAACAUACCUAUAACUGUUGCUUCGGCGGGUAGGGUCUCCGCGACCCUCCCGGCCUCCCGCCUCCGGGCGGGUCGGCGCCCGCCGGAGGAUAACCAAACUCUGAUUUAACGACGUUUCUUCUGAGUGGUACAAGCAAAUAAUCAAAACUUUUAACAACGGAUCUCUUGGUUCUGGCAUCGAUGAAGAACGCAGCGAAAUGCGAUAAGUAAUGUGAAUUGCAGAAUUCAGUGAAUCAUCGAAUCUUUGAACGCACAUUGCGCCCGCCAGCAUUCUGGCGGGCAUGCCUGUUCGAGCGUCAUUUCAACCCUCAAGCUCUGCUUGGUGUUGGGGCCCUACAGCUUAUGUAGGCCCUCAAAGGUAGUGGCGGACCCUCCCGGAGCCUCCUUUGCGUAGUAACUUUACGUCUCGCACUGGGAUCCGGAGGGACUCUUGCCGUAAAACCCCCCAAUUUUCCAAAGGUUGACCUCGG